rnacentral:lncRNA from 1 species
CUGCUCAAGGACCUCCACCCGGGCUAGGGCACUUUCCCUCUGAGCCUUCACCUCAUUCAGGUGAGCUUGAAGCCCUUCAAAAUCGGCCUUUAAGGCCUCAUAUUGGCGCUGGACCUCAGCUUUUUGGCUUACAGCCUCAUCCCUCUCCUAAAGGGCCGCUGUCAUAGAGGACAGCUGCUUUACAACCUCUACACAACGAGCUUCCACCUCAGCUGCCCUCUCAUCGGACUCCUGGAGAACCCUGCGAGUAC